AUUGAACGCUGGCGGCAGGCCUAACACAUGCAAGUCGAGCGAGCGGCGGACGGGUGAGUAAUGUAUGGGGAUCUGCCCGAUGGAGGGGGAUAACUACUGGAAACGGUGGCUAAUACCGCAUACUAUCGGAUGAACCCAUAUGGGAUUAGCUAGUAGGUGGGGUAACGGCUCACCUAGGCGACGAUCUCUAGCUGGUCUGAGAGGAUGACCAUCCACACUGGAACUGAGACACGGUCCCGACUCCUACGGGAGGCAGCAGUGGGGAAUAUUGCACAAUGGGCGCAAGCCUGAUGCGGCCAUGCCGCUUGUAUGAAGAAGGCCUUCGGAUUGUAAAGUACUUUCAGCUGGGAGGCGUUACCCGCAGAAGAAGCACCGGCUAACUCCGUGCCAGCCGCCGCGGUAAUUC
rnacentral:rRNA from 1 species